GGUGUUUGCCACUGUUCUUUUUCAACAAACCCUUGCCGCUUCAGGUUCAAGGCUUGCAAAGACCACUGGAUGUCCACUGAAGUUUAAACAUCUUAAUCACAUGUGCUACGGUGCAAUAGAGAACGCGGUUUCAACGGACCCUUGUAAGACGGUGGUCGGCGGAGAUCUGGCGACAUGGCAUGAUGAAGAUACACUCAACUACAUUUCUUCAU